GCUUUCCUGUGGCUCAGUUGGUAGAGCAUUUUGCUAACAACGCAAAGGUAGGGGGUUCAAAUCACAGGGAAAGCA
rnacentral:tRNA from 1 species